rnacentral:rRNA from 2 species
UAGUAACGGCGAGUGAAGCGGCAAUAGCUCAAAUUUGAAAUCUGGCUCUGCUCUAGGGUCCGAGUUGUAAUUUGUAGAGGGUGCUUUGGCACUGAUGGCGGUCUAAGUUCCUUGGAACAGGACAUCACAGAGGGUGAGAAUCCCGUAUGUGGUCGCUGAUCUUUGCCGUGUAAAGCCCCUUCAACGAGUCGAGUUGUUUGGGAAUGCAGCUCUAAAUGGGAGGUAAAUUUCUUCUAAAGCUAAAUAUUGGCCAGAGACCGAUAGCGCACAAGUAGAGUGAUCGAAAGAUGAAAAGCACUUUGGAAAGAGAGUCAAAAAGCACGUGAAAUUGUUGAAAGGGAAGCGCUUGCCGCCAGACUUGCCUGCAGUUGCUCACCUAGGCGUUCAGCCUGGGGCACUCUUCUGCAGGCAGGCCAGCAUCAGUUUGGGCAGCCGGAUAAAGGUCUCUGACACGUUCCUACCAUUGUGUAGGCCAUAUAGGGGAGACGUCAUGCGGUUAGCCUGGACUGAGGUCCGCGCAUUGCUAGGAUGCUGGCGUAAUGGCUGCAAGCGGCCCGUCUUGAAACACGGACCAAGGAGUCUAACAUCUAUGCGAGUGUUUGGGUGUCAAGCCCGAGCGCGCAAUAAACGUGAACGGAGGUGGGAACCCUCUUUUGGGGGUGCACCAUCGACCGAUCCUGAUGUCUUCGGAUGGAUUUGAGUAAGAGCAUAGCUGUUGGGACCCGAAAGAUGGUGAACUAUGCUUGAAUAGGGUGAAGCCAGAGGAAACUCUGGUGGAGGCUCGCAGCGGUUCUGACGUGCAAAUCGAUCGUCAAAUUUGGGCAUAGGGGCGAAAGACUAAUCGAACUAUCUAGUAGCUGGUUCCUG